GACAGAGGCCCCAAGCGUUAGGCGGAAUCACUGGGCUUAAAGGGCGCGUAGGCGGGCUCACAAGUCAGGGGUGAAAUCCCACGGCUCAACCGUGGAAGUGCCUUUGAUACUGUGGGUCUUGAGGGAGGUAGGGGCGUGCGGAACUUCCGGUGGAGCGGUGAAAUGCGUAGAUAUCGGAAGGAACACCGGUGGCGAAAGCGGCGCGCUGGACCUCUACUGACGGCUGAGGCGCGAAAGCCAGGG
rnacentral:rRNA from 1 species